CGGGGAAUCAUCGUCUUCUGCUUCAUCGUCAUCUUCAAUCUCAACGACUCCACCGAGGGGAUGAAGGAGAAGUGGUUGUUCAAUGCCUACACUUGUGUGAGUAGGCAUAAUAGUAACCACUUCUUCUUGAAAUGGUUGAUCUAAUGUUGAUGUAGAUGUUGCAGUAGACACUUCAACCUUUGAUCUUGCGUUGACUUUGCAU
rnacentral:lncRNA from 1 species